AUCUGGUCAAAGCUAGUGCACCAUAUAGGGAGUAGGUUGCCAUUUGGGACGUAUUCCAAAUGGAAAUGUGACUGAAGAGGUAGGAAACAACACCGCCACUUCACUGACUUUAACACUGGGGUCCUACAAGCGUGCUCAGCCCCCUCCUGUUCUCCCUGUUCACCCAUGACUGCGUGGCCAAGCACGCCUUCAACUCAAUCAUCGGGUUUGCAGACGACACAACAGUGGUGGGCCUAAUUACCAACGAUGAUGAGAUGGUCUGCAGCGAGGAGGUGAGGGCCUAAUUACCAACGAUGAUGAGAUGGUCUGCAGCGAGGAGGUGAGGGCCUAAUUACCAACGAUGAUGAGACGGUCUGCAGGGAGGAGGUGAGGGGUGUGUGCGGCCAGGAAAAGCAUCUCUCACUCAACAUCAACAAAACAAAGGAGAUGAUCGUGGACCUCAGGAAUCAGCAGAGGGAGCCACGCCCCCUAUCCACAUCGACGGGACCACAGUGGAGACGGUAGAACGUUUUAAGUUCCUCGGCGGACACAUCACUGACAAACUGAAAUGGUCCACCCACACAGACAGUGUGGUAAAGAAGGCGCAACAGCAC
ensembl:lncRNA